AUUUAUCCAAGAAUGAGCUUACGACUUUAAAAGAGUACAUGGAGGAAAAUCUGGCUAAGAAUUUUAUCCAAUAUUCUAAGUCACCAAUUGAUGCUCCAAUAUUAUUUGUGAAGAAGAAAGAUGGAUCUUUAUGAAUGUGUGUUGAUUAUUGUGGUGUCGUAAUACGUGAAGUCUUGCUAGAGAAUGCUCCGAGCACCUCGCUGUGGAAGAAAGAAUAGAAAUUAUAAUAAUAAAAUCUUAAUUCUAAUAAAAUACUAAUAAUACUCUAAUUAGACUAUAAUAAUGCUAAGUAAGCUUAAUCAAAUUCAAAAAAACCUCAAAGAAAUUUCAAACAAACAAUAAGAAUUCUUAAAGUAAUAUUAGAAAGAACACAAAUAUCACUCAAAUACAUCUCAAUUCAAUCUUAAUUUAAUUCUAGUUAAAAUCUUAUUGAACUUUAUUCAAACUCUAGGCCAAAACUAAUUAAAUCUUAAAUCCUAAUAAAAUCCUAAAUCCUAAAUCAAACCCUAAACAAACCUUAAACUAAAUCCCAACCAAAUCCUAAACCAAAUCCAAAUCCUAAACCCUAAAUCAAAUCCUAAUCUAAAUCCUAAACCCUAAAUCAAAUCCUAAUCCAAAUCCUAAAUCCUAAAUCAAAUCCUAAUCAAAUCCUAAACUCUAAAUCAAACCCUAACCAAAUCCUAAAUCAAAUCCUAAUCCAAAUCCUAAAUCCUAAAUCGAAUCCUAAUCAAAUCCUAAAUCCUAAAUAAAAUCCUAACCAAAUCCUAAACCAAAUCUUAAUUCAAACUCUAAAUCCUAAAUCAAAUCCUAAUCAAAUGCUAAAUCCUAAAUCAAAUCCUAAUCCAAAUCCUAAACCCCAAACCAAAUCCUAACCAAACCCUAAACCAAAUCCUAAUAAUUCCUAUAACAGAUUUAAACCUCAAUAACUAAUGAAUAAACC
rnacentral:lncRNA from 1 species